rnacentral:lncRNA from 1 species
GUUUUGCAAGGAAGUAAAAGCAUAAGAUAUCUCAACAUGGUUGAGAGCUAACUUACAAAUAUCAACAGAAUAUUUGGUAGAGGUGAAACUUUGUAAUACAUUAAUUGAGCCAUUGUUAAACCACACGUUUCUAUUAAUUGAAAAUGGGGGUUUUCCCCUAAUUGGUAGAAUCAAUGGAUUUUGCAAAGAGAGAUAGGAGCCACACACCACUUGCACACACUUGUCACAAACAAUUCCACACAUGGCACUACAAACAUAUAAUGCAACAAGAGAUGAUGAUCAUGAUGCCAUGAUGCAAAUGACAUGAGGCAAAUUUAUUACUAUUCAAACCAUAUGGCAAAGUUGAAGGGGUCCACACAUGAAAAGGUUUACAUAAAUGGCAAG